AACAAGGCGUACCUGCGGACCUGCGGAAGGAUCAUUACGAGAGUGUCACCACUCCCAACCCAUUGUUUACCUACCCGUCCACCGUGCUUCGGCAGGCAGCCCUGUGGGACAGAGCCUCGCCCCCCUCCGCGGGGGGGUGCCUGCCGCUGGCCAACCAACAACUCUAGCUGUUUUAGUACCAUCUGAGUCUUCCACAAAUGAACAAAACUUUCAACAAUGGAUCUCAGAUCGGAAGAGCAC
rnacentral:misc_RNA from 1 species